AGUGAACGCUGGCGGUAGGCCUAACACAUGCAAGUCGAACGGCAGCACAGUAAGAGCUUGCUCUUACGGGUGGCGAGUGGCGGACGGGUGAGGAAUACAUCGGAAUCUACUUUUUCGUGGGGGAUAACGUAGGGAAACUUACGCUAAUACCGCAUACGACCUACGGGUGAAAGCAGGGGAUCUUCGGACCUUGCGCGAUUGAAUGAGCCGAUGUCGGAUUAGCUAGUUGGCGGGGUAAAGGCCCACCAAGGCGACGAUCCGUAGCUGGUCUGAGAGGAUGAUCAGCCACACUGGAACUGGGACACGGCCCAGACUCCUACGGGAGGCAGCAGUGGGGAAUAUUGGACAAUGGGCGCAAGCCUGAUCCAGCCAUACCGCGUGGGUGAAGAAGGCCUUCGGGUUGUAAAGCCCUUUUGUUGGGAAAGAAAAGCAGCAGGUUAAUACCCCGCUGUUCUGACGGUACCCAAAGAAUAAGCACCGGCUAACUUCGUG
rnacentral:rRNA from 1 species